AAAUUUAAUCAUCUUAUCUUGCCUUAAAAAUGAAGGUUCAUACAACAAACGCCUAUAUUUAAAUGUUCUUCUCAUUAUUCCGGCAUUUUUCAUCAUGUUUACCCCUACCACUAUGUUACACAGUGAGAAUAUCAACAAAAAUGGCGGGCACCGGUUGAAUAUUUAUGACAUGGAAUUGAAAAAACUUUGGAUGGUUGUUAAAUGUUUAUUUAGUGUCAACAGGUAAGGAGUCCUCCAACCGCUUGACCAGACAUUGCAUUUCCAGCACUUCCUCAGGUGUCAAAAUUAAGAAACUUCAGAGGGAGGGAGUCUGGGACGUUUCCAGUUUAAAAGACAGGGUCACAGAAGCCUAGAGAAAAAAAUGGCUGCCACAGUAACUCCCGCAGUAACUCCAACAGUUACUGACCAUUGCACAUCAACGCUGGAAAAUACUUCUCAGGGCUUAAUAAGUGCUGAUGUCAAUAUCAAUGGAUAAUUAAAGAUUUUCAAACACUUGACCUAAAAAAUAUUAAGUGUUGAGGAACUUAAAACAUGCUCGAGGACAUGAAAUCAAACAACAAAAAAUAUUGGCAUGACUGUUCGCCUUUCACUGGAAAAUUAAAAGAUAUUUCAUCUU